GACGGUUGAUCAUCUCCUAGGCUUUUUGAAAAGCCUCUUCAGAAGAGCUGAGCUCCUUCACCAGCUCGCUAUUUUUUCUCUUCGCCUACUCCAACUGAUACCUCAGUAAGUCUAUUUUUCUCCUCACAUCCCUAAGCUCCAAUGCCGAAGCAUCAGGGGUGGAAUCGACAAAAUUAGCUAGGUAAUGCCCCAUCUGUGCAAAGUGUUGUAAGUAAACAUUAAAAUAUCGCAGGUUAUAGGAGGUUAAAAGAAGAUGCCCAAGGAUAUCUCACCUGGAUGAGAGAUCUGAGGGCACCCAACAUCUAUUACUGUGCUCUUUGUCUAUCCAAAAGUUACCCCUCGAACGGAGGAAGAAAGUCCUUCAGAAGUCUGUCCGCAUCCUAGGGGUCUUCUAUCCCAAAAGGAGCAGGAGGCGCCAGCUCUAGGGAUUCCUUGAUUUCUAUCACCAUUGUUGAAGCCCCCUUAGGAAGAAUAGCCAUGACCUCUACCUGUGUCGCUGCAGUUGGAACUUUGGCAAGGCUACUAGUUCUUCCCACCAC
rnacentral:lncRNA from 1 species